rnacentral:rRNA from 1 species
UGGGGAAUAUUGGACAAUGGGGGAAACCCUGAUCCAGCGACGCCGCGUGGGUGAUGAAGGCUUUCGGGUCGUAAAGCCCUGUCAGGAGGAAAGAACGAUCCUAUGGUAAAUAUCCAUAGGAAGUGACGGUACCUCCAAAGGAAGCACCGGCCAACUCCGUGCCAGCAGCCGCGGUAAGACGGAGGGUGCAAGCGUUGCUCGGAAUCACUGGGCGUAAAGGGUGCGUAGGCGGCCUUUCAAGUCUGGCGUGAAAGCCCAGGGCUCAGCCCUGGAAGUGCGCUAGAAACGGGAGGGCUUGAGUGUCGGAGGGGAGAGUGGAAUUCCUGGUGUAGCGGUGAAAUGCGUAGAUAUCAGGAGGAAUACCGGUGGCGAAAGCGACUCUCUGGACGACAACUGACGCUGAGGCACGAAAGCGUGGGGAGCAAACAGGAUUAGAUACCCCCGUAGUCC